rnacentral:lncRNA from 10 species
AAAUAAUUAAAUUUAAGAGUUGGAGAGAUGAAAUUGUGACAAUAUCCUGGAAAUAUAAAACUAAAGAUAUAAAGAGAUCUAGGAUACCCCGAUUCAUGAAGAUCCAUUGGCAAGUUCAGUGCCAGAACCAGGGUGGGAGCAGCUGCAAAACAUUUGUAGUGAAUAAAGGGAAAUUAGUUUAUCAGUGUAGUUACCUCUGGGUGAUUUAAUUUCUCAACUUUUCUGUGUCUUCCAGAAUGUUUAACAGGGAGGAACCCUAUCUUCUGGGAGCUGCAAAAUAUGCUUGCACCAAAAAGUAAGCCAAGGAAACAGGGAACGAAGUAAAAAACCAAGCACGUUUCAUGUGCCUGUGAGAUGCCUGGAUUCUUCAAGAUGGCGAGACCCAAGGAAAGAAAGGUCAAGUUGUCGGCAAGUCACCUCAGGACUUUUCUGGCUACUUUAUGGAAAUAAAAUCCUGAGGCUGGCCCGUUAGGGAACUACUAAAAUUGUCCAAAUAAGAAAUGAUAGAGUGUUGGAUCAAAAGGCUUCAGAGUUCUACAUCGUAUCCUACUUACAGCCCUAAAUACCUGUUAACUGCCACCCCCUGGACAGAUUAUUACAGUGACAACAGAAAUAUAAGUCACAUAAGGAGCUGCUGAAUGCACUCAAGACUCAACAAUCUCCAAAGAUACUGGAAGGCACGAAUGGAAAUCUGGACUCUGACAACUGUCCUUAGCAUGUUAUCUUUUACGCCAAUGCUGGCCAAAGAGAAGGACUUAAAACGUUGUACUGAUCCUUACAAGAACUUAGUUUCCACUGUUUCUUUCCACUACUUUUGCUAAAUUCAAAUUGACCAACCAAUAGCUGCUUAACUAGGACCACACCUUGCUCUUCCUGCAUCUUAUCCCAUGAGCAACACGAUUUCAGUUUCCCCAUAAUUUCCAAGAACUUGCCAGUGAAUAAUUCUCGGAAUAAAACUGAACUAUGACUGUGAAACUGCCUUUGCAAAAAUCAUAACUGAGAAAAGAAGGUAAAAGAGAUGUGUCCUAACUGCCUUCAUCUUUCUUUUAACCUCCAAGCUGUCUUAUUCAUUGCUGGUGUAGGCUAAACUAAUUUUGGAAGAAACUUAGUUUAUGAUUUAACUUUGAAACCAAGAUAAUAGCAGCCCUUUCCCUAAACAAACCCCCUUCCUGCCUACAGCCUAGACUGGCUUUGCAGGAUUAACAAAAUAGCCACAAAAUUAGAAAUUAUGGCUUAGGAGUCAUGCAGCUGGAGGGUACAAGAAUCUGAACCUCUCCAAAUUGCUCCUGAGGAUAACAUCACUAUUGUAAAAUCUAAGAUCAGUGCUUCAGAUAUUUUGCAGACUCUGUGCUUAAAGGAUCAGCUGGCACUACCCAGGUCUUGAUAAACUGGCUCAGUUGGACUUGUGGCCUCUGCCUAGGAACUGAUUCAGCAUAAGAGGACAGCUUUGACUCCCUAUUAUUUUAUCUCUGACCUGAUCAAUCAGCACUGCCAACUUUCUGACCCCCUAUACACCAAAUUAUUCUUGAAAACCUCAGUCUCCAAGUUUUGGGAGAGACUGAUUUGAGUAAAACUCUGGUCCCCUGUACAGUCAGCUUUGCAUGAAUUAAACUCUUUCUCUAUUGCCAUUCCCCUGUCUAGAUAAAUCAGCUCUGUCUAGGCAGUGGGCAAGAUUAACCCACUGGGUUACAUGUGGCCUUUCCCAAUUCUAUCUUAUGAAAUAUUUAUCUACUUGGUCCCCAUAGUCAUCUUGAAAUGUGUUUCAUGUUGCAAUGUUUUAAUAAAG